CCUACGGGAGGCAGCAGUGGGGAAUAUUGCACAAUGGGGGAAACCCUGAUGCAGCGACGCCGCGUGAGUGAAGCAGUAUUUCGGUACGUAAAGCUCUAUCAGCAGGGAAGAAAAUGACGGUACCUGACUAAGAAGCCCCGGCUAACUACGUGCCAGCAGCCGCGGUAAUACGUAGGGGGCAAGCGUUAUCCGGAUUUACUGGGUGUAAAGGGAGCGUAGACGGCAGCGCAAGUCUGGAGUGAAAUCCCAUGGCUUAACCAUGGAACUGCUUUGGAGACUGUGCAGCUAGAGUGCAGGAGAGGUAAGCGGAAUUCCUAGUGUAGCGGUGAAAUGCGUAGAUAUUAGGAGGAACACCAGUGGCGAAGGCGGCUUACUGGACUGUAACUGACGUUGAGGCUCGAAAGCGUGGGGAGCAAACAGGAUUAGAUACCCCUGUAGUC
rnacentral:rRNA from 1 species